GACGAACGCUGGCGGCGUGCUUAACACAUGCAAGUCGAACGGAAAGGCCCGGCUUUUGCUGGGUGCUCGAGUGGCGAACGGGUGAGUAACACGUGAGUAACCUGCCCCUGUCUUUGGGAUAACUUCAGGAAACUGCGGCUAAUACCGGAUAGGAGCUCCUGCUCCAUGGGGUUGGUUGGAAAGUUUCGGCGGUUGUGGAUGGACUCGCUGCUUAUCAGCUUGUUGGUGGGGUAGUGGCUUACCAAGGCUUUGACGGGUAGCCGGCCUGAGAGGGUUACCGGCCACAUUGGGACUGAGAGACGGCCCAGACUCCUACGGGAGGCAGCAGUGGGAAGUAUUACACAAUGGGCGGAAGCCUGUUGCAGAGACGCCGGGUGCGGGAUGACGGCCUUCGGGUUGUAAACCGCUGUCGCCUGUGACGAAGCGUGAGUGACGGUAAUUAGUAAAGAAGCACCGGCUAACUACGUG
rnacentral:rRNA from 1 species